AAUCAAUCAAAAAUUCAAUCGGACGUUUCCGUUGUGUGGCAAAAGUGCGCCCCCUGUCGCCCACGAAACCGGAGCCGGAUGUGGAAUUUGAAACACAGCUCCAGGACCGCGUUGGAUGUCCUGGUUGUUACAGAGAUGAGCGGAGACUACGUCAAGUUGUUUGUGGGCAACCUUCCUUUAGAUGCAACCCAAGACGAACUCAACAAGCUUUUUGCUCCUUAUGGGGAGAUCAACACUUGCUCCUUGCUCAGACAGUAUGCCUUUGUUACCCUGAAUGGAGAUGGAGCGGCGGACAGGGCUAUACGGCAUCUGGACGGCAAGGAGUACAGAGGCAGACCACUUGUGGUGGAGGAGUCGCGUGCACGCCCGCCAAACUCCACCAAAGUGUUUGUGGGGAACCUCAGCGCCACUUGUUCCGCAGAUGACCUUCAUGGGCUGUUCUCGACAUUUGGGAAAGUUUUAGAUUGCGACAAAGUCAAAGCCAGGUUAUGUUCAAAUGUUGGCUAUGCAUUUGUACAUAUGGAAAGAAAGGAGGAGGCGUUGGCAGCUAUCGAGGCUCUCAAUGGGACAAUUUUCAAGGGCCGUCAGCUGGCUGUAGAGCUAUCCAAAGCUCAACCUUUGGUCAACCAGCUCCCAACAGGGAAUUCAGGCGGUGGUCGAGAGGGUCUCCUUCCUCGGCCAGCUGCCUCCUUGGAGCAUCACCAGAGUCAUGCUGCUGUGCUUGCAGCGGCUGCAGCAGCUGCCGCUGGACUACCCAUACAAGUGCAACAAAGCGUCCAUAACUCGUUCUACAAUACAACAUCCUUUGACCCGACUUAUGCUGCCCUGAAGGGCAUUACGAGUUCUAAAGGCGCAGACGGAGUUAUCUAUGGCGCUCUUGCCAGCCAAGUGUACGGAUCCGUGGCUGACCAGGUGUACCAUGACAUGGCCAAUCACACUACGGCACCAAGCACUGUGGCUGAAGAGUACGAGCCUCAGACCACACCGGACCCAACAACACUUUUUGAAGCUGCUAGAGCCAAAUUUUUCCAGGAGGGACAGAAGGUUCUGGCCGAGCAGCAGGCAGGAAGAAAAACAACAUCGACGACAAUCACCACCACAAGAACUACAGAUACAACAGCGUCAGAAACCGAGCGGGAUCGCAGCCCGAUCAGAGGAAACAAAACAGCCUUGCUUCCUGACCCUGGUCCAGGUUCCUUCGCAAAUCAAGCUAAGCGCCGUGCUUUGCUGCCGACGCCUCCAGGCGUGCCUGAAGACUCUGCAACUGCUACUGCUGAAGGGGCUGAUUCUGUUGCAAGGUCCUACACAGAAUAUUACCAGCAAAUGCAUCAGUACCAGCAGUACCAGCAACAAUAUCAACAACAGUACCAUUACCUCCAGUAUGCUUACACCAAUCCUCCGCCUCCUCCUCCGCCGGCCACAACAGAAUCUUCUAGUUCAAUCCCUCCACCCCCAGGGACAUAUACGGCACCCCCGACCUACUCUGCGACGCAAGACUACGGGCCCCCAGGAACGUACGACCCGCCCACGAGUUACGACCAAUCAUCGGCGAACUACAAUGCUUCGGCUGCGAGCUACGGCGCCUCCGGAAACUACAACGCCUCAGCCGGCUAUGACGCAUCGGGAGGCUACGGGGCGUACGAUACAUCCGGAGCUUACGCAGCAGCGGGAAGCUACUCCACAUCCACACCGUAUGAGCAGACACCAGCACACGGGCAACCCACGCCCCAGCGCAAUGAUUACCCUUACAACACGCCAGAACCCCCCUAUCGAUAGGCCCAACCCUUCACACAGUCCUACUCACUGCAGAUGUGUGUGAGUCGUUGCAUAAGGGACAGUUGAAGGGUGAAAUGAGGCAAGCGGCAAGGUUAUUUGAAAGUGCGGUAAAUCUCAUUGUUGUCAAUCUUGGCUUAUCUUGUCUCCAUCUAGCUUAGCUUUUGUUGGUGACUAUUUGAUACAUGCAGUAGUACUGCAUACAGACAUCUCUUCAUUGUUGCUCUUGCUCAGCUGGUUUUGAGAGGCAGGAAGUUAUACGUUAUGAGCCUGUAUCAGGGAAGGCCUUUUAUAAUAUCUACUUGGCAGUUAUGGAGCAUUGCUGGCUGUUUACGAUGUUAGGAUCGGGCAGUUUUUUAACAAAUUUUGACAGGAUACAGUUUUUUUAAAGAGUUCUAUCCCAGUUAAACAGGCCUAUUUAUCUUUUGUGAUGAUGAUUUGGACAUGUAUACACACCCAACUGCAUCGCAGUAUGGCCCCUCUGCAGUGUUUACAAUUGGCAUUUCUGCAUUUUUUGGUAAAAGUCAAGCCGUUUUUUAAUGGCAAAAUUCAACAAUUCGGGCACUCCCAACAUGUCUCCUUGCUCAACCUUGGCUUUUGAGUGAUUAAUUUUGAGCUAAGUUUGAAUGUUUCUGCAUAGCAUAACGUUUGGAAAACAUUUUGGAGAAUCCAUCUGUAUCCGCUGUCUGUCUUUGCGUUACUGGUAGGUUUGCGCAUCUUAUGUCAAAGGAAGGUGUCUCUCCUUCUGCUUUUUAAGUAGUAUUCAGUUUAAGAAUAUUUUGGAAAGUGUUUCAGGCUGCAGAUGUGAUUUAUUUGCAUGUAUAUACAUUUAUGAAUGCCAGGAAGCGUGAUUUGGCCGAUUUUGAUCUCUUCAAAUGUGAUGAAAGUCCCAACUGUUGAGUUUAAGUUACCCGUCAUACUUGGCAAUACUAGUGUAAAUAUAUCUUGCCUUCAUAAAUUGAAGUUGUAAGCCAACAUUUGGUUUUACACUGACUGUUAUUAGAUAUCAGGCCAUUGCAUCGGCGACAGGGGUGUGUGUAGAUGGGACAGGUGCAUAGAGGUUUGCUGAGCUAUAGGUGAGCCAUGCUGAGAUCUGUGUGGAUUGAGCAGGAAGACAGUUGACUCUGGUUUGUGAAAGCACACUCACACCUUGCUAGAUUUCACAUUCGGCCUCAUUCGCUACCACACAUGUAAAGUAAUGCCCCAGCUGACUCCGAAAGGCACACAUUGAGCUUCAUUUGUUUCCUUGGUGAUUGUAGCACACACUUUCUCUGUUGCACAGCCUUGUCACAUGCCACAAUAUUCCAGCUUCUCCAUGUAAACUUGUUAGUUGCAUGCCAUGUUGUUGCUGCUGCUCCAGCCACCUUCUUCCUCUUGCUGAUUAUUGCAGCUAGAGUGGGAGGGAGCCAUACUCUGAGCCCUUGCCCUGGACGUACGCCACGCGCUGCUGUAAGCGCGGGAUGGGGAAACAGCAGCGUUAGGCCUGAAACUGCUGUGGAUGAUGGGGUGGCCCCCCCCUCGCUAAAGAAAAGGAAAAAAUAGAAGAAAAGAAUAAGCGGCGUACACCUGACAGAGUUGUGAUGUAAAGGAGGACAAACGAAGAGAGCGAAAAAGAAGAGAGGGCCAGCGGCAGUGUGGGCAGGUCUGUAGGCUCGCCAAGAUGAAAAGGAACAAAACCUCAGUCGACUGUGUUUCUUCGCCCAGUGAAACUUCGGGCUACGAGUGUUGUCUGCUGUUUGUUCGAACCGCACGUGGAAGAACAAGGUGUACCUAAUGAAGUGUCACACAGAUCCCACCAUAAACGUGCAGACAGUGGUUCCAGCCCUGUCAAGCAGGAAAUUGCAAAAAGGAAAGAAAGCACCAAUUUAACAUAAAAACCUGAAGGCUGUAUGGAGUUGAACUGAAAGCUGUUUCCUCUGUAGCAGACGACGUUCACUUUCCGGUUGUCUCUGAUUGGUCAGGGAGUUGUCAUUUGGAACAAGAUGAGCAGUUGAUGUGCUGCUUGGUGGCGUUGGCGUACCCGGACAGCACGAGGGAGGGGGGCUCCCGCUCGGUCAGCGGACUCUCCUCGUUGCUCAGGAUGUGCUCCACCAAGAAGCGUGUUGCCUCCUCGAUGUUUGUGUUGUCCUGGAGUUAAAAUAAAAAACACUAAACAUGA